rnacentral:rRNA from 1 species
CCUACGUGCGGCAGCAGUGGGGAAUAUUGCACAAUGGGGGGAACCCUGAUGCAGCGACGCCGCGUGAGUGAAGCAGUAUUUCGGUAUGUAAAGCUCUAUCAGCAGGGAAGAAAAUGACGGUACCUGACUAAGAAGCCCCGGCUAACUACGUGCCAGCAGCCGCGGUAAUACGUAGGGGGCAAGCGUUAUCCGGAUUUACUGGGUGUAAAGGGAGCGCAGACGGCUGUGCAAGUCUGGAGUGAAAGGCGGGGGCCCAACCCCCGGACUGCGCUGGAAACUGUAAGGCUGGAGUGCAGGAGAGGUAAGCGGAAUUCCUAGUGUAGCGGUGAAAUGCGUAGAUAUUAGGAGGAACACCAGUGGCGAAGGCGGCUUACCAAGCUACUUCUGACGUUGAGGCACGAAAGCGUGGGGAGCAAACAGGAUUAGAUACCCUUGUAGUC